GUUGGAAUUUUUGCCGAUUUUUCUUCCUCUCUUUCACCAACUUCCAGUGCUGUGUUCUCCCCAGCUCUGGGCUGUCAAGAAGGCCAGGCACUGUGCUAGACCCCCGAGGUGAAGAAAUGGAGGGAAGCAGCCUUGCCCUGCAGAACGUCACCAACAAAGAGAUGAGGACCACACGCUCGUGUUCAAUACGCAAUUGGAGGUGGCAGAGAGGUGACAUGCUGGCUUUCUCCGGGAAGAGAGCAGAUGCCCAGCUCAGGAUUGAAUGACAAGCUGCUGAGGCUCACUGCCCCCCAACGAUGGGCAGUGAGUCAGUGGGUCCAUGAGGCAGGGCAUGGUCCAGCCCUGGCCCCUCAGGAUGGCAGCCCUGGCCCCUCGGGAUGGCAGCCCUGCCCCCUCAGGAUGGCAGCCCUGCCCAGAGGAGCAUGAGGCCCUCCUAGGCGGACCUCACAGCAAACCAGGAUUUGUUGCCUUCUGGAGGAAUGAAUGUUUUUCUGUGGAAUCAGCCUGGCCCAGACACGGAUGCAGUGUCCUCGGCUCCAGUGUUGCCUGGAUCUGACUUCCUGGAACUGAAAACCGCCUCUUAUCCCCUGGGCCGAUGGCAACAACUGAGGACUGAGCUGUGUGCUCUGCAGCCCUGGUUGGCUUGCUCAAGUCAGUGUCCAAAUUCUUUCCUGCACUUUCAAGGGGCGAUGGGUUGGUAGAAGUUGAGAGAACUUUGAGAGUUCAGUGACUGAUCCAAGAUCGGGUAAGAAGCAGGACCCAGGAUUCCAACCCAGGACUGUGGUGCGGAUCAAAGGAGAUAAUGUAUGCUCAGGCAUGCUGUGGACGCGACGUGCUGUGUACAGGAGGUACAGCAUUAAUGAGCCUCUGCUGCUUUGAGGGAACCUGCACUCAAACUUUAUGCUUUUCAUUUUCAUACCACCUGGGAGGGAGGGGAGACUAACAAGGUUCCUGCCCCCUGAGGCUCAGCAUGGGGAGGGACUGGCCCUGGGCCCCGCCGUGGGGUGAAGGCGAAGGCAGGGGCCUGGGAGGGGGUCCCCAGCCUAGUGGUCUUUCCGUGACUCCCUUCUGUGAGUCUCCACAUGGGUCUGUUUGUGGAUAUAUUACCCUAUAUACACAUCUUUAUAGUAUAUGCAUGUUUUAAACUUCAUUUUUAUUUUUCGUGUCUCAGAGUUGCUCUGAAGCCGCAUGCUGGGCACCUAGCAGGCCAGUCUGGGAGGGUAGGAAGGCAGCUGUCUGUGUCUUCCCCAUCAGGGUCACGCUAGAGGCCUUUCUGGCUUCUGGGGAACAGUUUGAACGUCAAGGAUCUCAGGGCACAGACUCCCCCAGAAGGCAGCCCCGUUUCCUGAACUGGACUUCAGUUUUCCCGAGUGCGCCCCUUGCCGGAUUUCUGUUUUCCAGGGCACUUGCUUAAGCUUUGAUGCCAGGUCCCCAAAAAGGAGUAGAUCCCAGCAGUUUCCUGCCCAGUGCCCCUCCUUCCCGACUCCCUUGGCCUGAGUGUGGAGAUCAUUCAUUUCUCUAG